rnacentral:lncRNA from 1 species
UGUGUGUGUGAGUGACAAAAUGUCUGUAUGAAUUUCAGAAUAAGCAGCUUUUGAUCCAAUACAGGUUUAUUAUUGAGGUAAGAGGUAAUUCUCGUCUGCAUAUUAUUCAAUAUUUGCCAAAAUAAUUAUGACUUGUUGAAAGGCUAUUAUACUUUUUGUUGCUUUGACGCCUAACAGCGACGAUGAAAGGCGUCAAAGCAAAAGGAAUAAUAGCUUUUCAACACGUUUUUACAAAUAUUGAAU